rnacentral:rRNA from 1 species
GAUGAACGCUGGCGGCGUGCUUAACACAUGCAAGUCGAACGGUGACGGCGUUGCUUGCGCUGAUGGGUCAGUGGCGGGCGGGUAAGUAACACGAACGCAACCUGCCGCUGGGUCUAGGGCAAGCAAUGGUGACGGAGUCCAGUACUUGAUCCGAGCUGGGAAGGGAUGUUCUGCAGAUGGAUAUUUGGUCGGUCGGGGAUGGAGUCGCGGCUGAUCGGCUUGUUGGUGGGGGAGUGGCCAACCUAGGCGGCGACGGGUAGCCGGCCUGGGGGGGGGACCGGCCACACUGGGACUGAGAGACGGCCCAGACGCCUACGGGAGGCAGCAGUGGGGAAUAUUGCACAAUGGGCGAAAGCCUGAGGCAGCAACGCCGCGUGAGGGACGACGGCCUUCGGGUUGUAAACCUCUUUUAGCAGGGAAGAAGCGAAAGUGACGGUACCUGCAGAAAAAGCGCCGGCUAACUACGUG